rnacentral:lncRNA from 1 species
GGUGGGAGAACUCCUCGAAAGGGCUCGAAGGACUGAAGGCUCGACGUUCUAAGGGAUGUCGACGGUGAGGGCCGCCCGGGCAACUCCUACGUCCGUGCCUACAACAAGAGAAAAGAAAGAAGAAAAUCCCGAAAGGUCGGGAAAGAUUGCAAAUAAACCCUCAGAAGCUGAACAGACAAAGCAAGAAGAGGAAGGAACGAUAGCAAUGACAAGAGAAGUUUCGGACCAACCUAGAUUGGCCCGACGUAGGCGGGAAGACGGCGGAGAUGGCGGGGAUUGACACAAAGAAUGCUUAGGGUCGAAAAGGGCACCGAUGGGCAGCAGAACUCUCAGAUGGAAGAAAGAUGCUGAUUGGACUCUCAGGUGAAGUGAAGUCCCUGGAGGGAAGGAGUGGGUUUAAAUAGACAACAGGGCCUGGCACAGUCAUGACGACGGAUAUCCCUAGGCCGA